CCACAAGCAUCAGCAUGACGAUUCCCGAAACGAGUCCGAGGGUAGCCUUCUUCGCCUGCAGGCAAGCGCCGCUCGGUGUCGGCGGUGACACUGUGGGCGCAGACGGCGGAGGGACGGAGCCUGGGGUCGAAGAUGACGGCGGAAGCGCAGAAGGCGAGCGCGGGGAGGGAGCAACAGGGGGAGCGGGGGGUGGAGGAGGGAGAAGGAGGAGGUGUUGAGGUCGGGGAGGCGACGUCGAUCUGGAGCUUCAUGCCACCAGCGCAGUGUCCGGGAAUUCCGCAGACGAAGUACCUGGAGCCGGUGCUGUUGAGCGUGACGACGGUGUUGCCGCCGGUGCUCGUCGAUAUGGGGUUGCUCGUCGUGCACGAGCUGUAGGCGGCGCUCGACACCUCCAACACGUCAUGGCUCGACGCAUACUUGAAUGCUGCGUUCAAAAGGAGUAUAGCUUCUAAGAUAUUUAUGUUGCAAUAAAAAUGUGAAUUUAAUUAUAUACAAUAUUGAAUAUGAUUUUGAUUAAAUAUUGAGUUGUAGACAAUUAUAUUUUUAAUAAAAUAUAAAGUUUAGAUUAAACGAUCAAUUUAAUACGUUUAUUUUUUUACGCUUAACUAUCAAAGUGUUUACUAACUAAGCAAGCUGA